rnacentral:rRNA from 1 species
UACGUAGGGGGCCAGCGUUGUUCGGAAUUACUGGGUGUAAAGGGUUCGUAGGCGGUGCGGCAAGUUGGGAGUGAAAUCUCUGGGCUUAACCCAGAGGCUGCUUUCAAAAACUGCUGUGCUUGAGUGUGAGAGAGGCUCGUGGAAUUGCAGGUGUAGCGGUGAAAUGCGUAGAUAUCUGCAGGAACACCCGUGGCGAAAGCGGCGAGCUGGAUCACUACUGACGCUGAGGAACGAAAGCUAGGGGAGCAAACGGG